ACUCCACUGUAACCAGGGAAGUUCCCCACUCCACUGUAACCAGGGAAGUUCCCCACUCCACUGUAACCAGGGAAGUUCCCCACUGUAACCAGGGAAGUUCCCCACUCCACUGUAACCAGGGAAGUUCCCCACUCCACUGUAACCAGGGAAGUUCCCCACUGUAACCAGGGAAGUUCCCCACUGUAACCAGGGAAGUUCCCCACUCCACUGUAACCAGGGAAGUUCCCCACUCCACUGUAACCAGGGAAGUUCCCCACUCCACUGUAACCAGGGAAGUUCCCCACUCCACUGUAACCAGGGAAGUUCCCCACUCCACUGUAACCAGGGAAUUUCUCCACUCCAAAAGGAACCUUGACCUUGUUAUGGAUUUCAUAGACAUGGUAGAGCGAAAAGAAAGAAAGAGAUACUGCCUGGUGAUAAUUGACAGGUUCACCAGGUGGGUGGAAGCAUUUCCCACCACCAACUGCGAUGCGCGAAACAGUUGAAAAAUGGCUAGUCAGGGAAAUCAUACCCAGGUUCGGAGUAACUGAGGUUUUAGGUUUUAUCUGCAGACAAUGGGACCCAUCUCAUAGGAGAUGUGGUUGCCCAAGUAGCCAAAAUGAUGGGUGUUGACUAGAAGUUUGUGUCCAUCUAUCAACCGUGGAGUGACGGGAUAAGAGAGAGGGCUAAUUAAAUGAUCAAAGGGGGGCUUGCAAAAGCCUGUCAUUCCACAACAAUGAGCUGGGUGGAAUGCUGCCCCUUGUCCUCAGGAAAAUGUGCAGCAGCCUUAACAAAGUUUUCUCCACCCUCACACUAGGAAAGCAUUAGAACCAAUGCCAGGUGAGGAUCCAGAUGCUCUGGCCAUCUGCGUAGGAGACUGAGUGAAAAAGACAAGUCCAUAAAAGAAAAUGGAACCAGCCAAGAUGAAUGGGACCCUUCCAGGUGACCAUGGCAACACCGAUUGCAAUCCGGGUGGCGAAGAGGUCCAGCUGGCAUCAUCUCUCCCACAGCAAGCAACUCCCAGAGUGGAAGCCAUGGAUGAGCGACUGGAGGGAGGGAGAGCAGGGCCCCGAGGACAUCUGAAGGAGGAAGAAGGUAUGAGCCAAAGGACAGAAGCAGAGGGCCCAGACCAAAUGACAGAAGCAGAAGGUCCAGACCAAAGGACAGAAGCAGAAGGUCCAGACCAAAAGGCUGGAAAGAAAGAUGAAAAAGAAGGCUCUAGAUAACGAGCAGAAGGAGGAGACGUCAUUUCACACUCAGGGUCUAUAACUAGGAAACAGAGACUAGUGUGGUGGUUUGUUUUCCCCAUAAUCCUUUCCAUGGGUCUCCUUGUUGGCGCAGCCACAGGACCCCCUGGGGGAUCUGAGGUAAACAACAAAUGGAUACAAAUGGUGAGAAAAAUUGGAAAUCAGACUAAGAAAUCAGACUACUAGGAACCCAGAUUUGAGUAUUUAGGAAGCCUACAUCAACAACUGAGCUGUUCGGGAGUCAGGUUGAGCCCAUGAGAAGGACAGAGUUUGGAUGUGGGUUUUUAUCCUUUAUGCAGAGAGGUAAUGAGAAACAACUGACUAGGCGAAUGGAGACCACAGGACUGUUCUUUGGGAAAAGAACUGAGAGGUUAGCCGGGGAUCAUGGGACACAUGUAUGUUGGGGUGGUCACAAGAAGGGAGCAAAUUGACCUAAUGUGGUAGAAGGAAGCAGGCAGAUCCCUCUAUGACCUAGAAUUCACCUCAGGAGAGGUGAGUCAGUCUUCAUGGUAAGAACUACCCACUCUGUAAGAUGUAAUUAUCCCAGCAGGCACCUGUGGAUAGAAUUGUUAGGAAAUGGAAGUUUGAUCAUCAUUCCCAUACUGACUGUGGAAAAGUGGAAAAUUACUGCUGAGCACUUAGAAAACACUGGAACUAUUGUUUUUAUUCCUGCAAGUUUGUAAAACUGUAUAUGCAUGGCCUUGGUCUCAUGAGUAGAAGGUGUUGAUGUAGGCAGUUACAUCACUAGGGGUUGACUGCAAACAUAUAAAAGCAACUUGGACUUUUCCUAUUUUGCAGAACUCAGGAGAUACAUCAGUUGUAUGUUUGAUAUUAAAAUUGUUAUGAUUUAUAAGUGCACAUUUUGAGUUCCUUAUUUGUUAAGUAACUAACGGAGACCAGAAAAGUGGAACCAACACUAACAUAAUUGCAAAAGUGUUUUCAUUUAGAGCCUUUUAAAAUUAUGAACAUGGAUUAGCUAACACAACGUGCCAUUGGAACACAGGAGUGAUGGCUGCUGAUAAUGGGCCUCUGUACUCCUAUGUAGAUAUUCCAUAUAAAAUCAGCCGUUUCCAGCAACAAUAGUCAUUUACAACAUUAACAAUGUCUACACUGUAUUUCUGAUCAAUUUUAUGUUAUUUUAAUGGACAAAAAAAAUUUGAUUUUCUUUCAAAAACAAGGACAUUUCUAAGUGACCCCAAACUUUUGAACGGUAGUGUAUAUCACUGACUUCCAUGUGCACAAACACACAUACAUACAU
ensembl:lncRNA